rnacentral:tRNA from 1 species
GAGCCGGUAGCUCAGUGGUUAGAGUGUUUGACUACUGAUCAAUAAGUUGCGGGUUCGAGCCUCGGAUGGUGCA